GUAGGUGGCAAGCGUUGUCCGGAAUUAUUGGGCGUAAAGCGCGCGCAGGCGGUUCUUUAAGUCUGAUGUGAAAGCCCACGGCUCAACCGUGGAGGGUCAUUGGAAACUGGAGAACUUGAGUACAGAAGAGGAAAGCGGAAUUCCACGUGUAGCGGUGAAAUGCGUAGAGAUGUGGAGGAACACCAGUGGCGAAGGCGGCUUUUCUGGUCUGUAACUGACGCUGAGGCGCGAAAGCGUGGGGAGCAAACAGGGAUUAGAUACCCUGGUAGUCCACGCCGUAAACGAUGAGUGCUAAGUGUUAGGGGGUUUCCGCCCCUUAGUGCUGCAGCUAACGCAUUAAGCACUCCGCCUGGGGAGUACGGCCGCAAGGCUG
rnacentral:rRNA from 1 species